UAAGACGAACCGUCCUAACGUUGUUCGGAAUCACUGGGCUUAAAGGGCGCGUAGGCGGACCACAAAGUCCGGGGUGAAAUCUUUCGGCUUAACCGGAAAAUUGCCUUGGAUACUGGUGGUCUCGAGGGAGGUAGGGGCAUGUGGAACUUCCGGUGGAGCGGUGAAAUGUGUUGAUAUCGGAAGGAACGCCGGUGGCGAAAGCGACGUGCUGGACCUCUUCUGACGCUGAGGCGCGAAAGCCAGGGGAGCAAACGGGAUUAGAUACCCCGGUAGUCCUGGCCCUAAACGAUGGGUACUAGGUUGCGGACUAGACAUGGGUUCGCAGCCGAAGCAAAAGUGCUAAGUACCCCGCCUGGGGAGUAUGGUCGCAAGGCUG
rnacentral:rRNA from 1 species